rnacentral:lncRNA from 1 species
UCAGCUUCCAGAAGUGAGUUGCAGAACAACUUCUCUUGAUUUCUUAGAUAUUUCAAAUUGUGGUUUCCAAGGGUCAAUCCCUCCCUCUUUCUCCAACCUCAUACAUCUCACUUCCCUGGACCUUUCAGAUAACAACCUCAACGGUUCAAUCCCUCCCUCUUUCUUUAACCUCACACAUCUUACUUCCUUGGAUCUCUCAGAUAACAACCUCAACCUCAACGGUUCAAUCCCUCCCUCUUUCUCCAACCUCAUACAUCUCACUUCCCUGGACCUUUCAGGUAACAAUCUCGGUUCAAUCCCUCCCUCUUUCUUUAACCUCACACAUCUCACUUCCCUGGAUCUCUCAUUUAACAACCUCAACGGUUCAAUCCCUCCCUCUUUCUCCAACCUCAUACAUCUCACUUCCCUGGACCUCUCAGGUAACCACCUCAACGGUUCAAUCCCUCCCUCUUUCUCCAACCUCAUACAUCUUACUUCCUUGGAUCUCUCAUAUAACAACCUCAACGGUUCAAUCCCAUCCUCACUCUUGACCCUUCCACGGCUAAACUUUCUGUAUCUAUACGAUAAUCAACUCAGUGGUCAAAUCCCAGAUGCGUUUCCUCAGUCAAACAGCUUUCACGAAUUGCAUUUGAGUGAUAACAAAAUAGAGGGUGAGCUGCCUUCAACACUUUCAAAUCUUCAACAUCUCAUUCACUUGGAUCUUUCAUAUAAUAAAUUGGAGGGCCCUCUGCCUAACAAUAUAACAGGGUUUUCAAACCUAACAUCGUUAUGGUUAAAUGGAAACUUACUGAAUGGGACAAUUCCUUCUUGGUGUUUAUCUUUGCCAUCUUUGAAGCAGUUAGAUCUAUCAGGAAACCAACUCUCUGGGCAUAUUAGUGCAAUCUCAUCAUAUUCCUUGGAGACAUUGUUUUUAUCCCACAACAAGUUACAAGGCAAUAUUCCAGAAUCAAUUUUUAGCCUUGUAAACCUUAUUUUCUUAGGUCUAUCAUCAAACAAUUUAAGUGGAUCUGUCAAAUUUCAUCGUUUCUCCAAGCUUCAAUAUUUGGAAGAACUUCACCUUUCAUGGAAUGAUCAGUUAUCACUAAAUUUCGAAUCCAAUGUCAAUUAUAAUUUCUCUAAUUUAAUGUUGUUGAACUUAUCUUCUAUGGUUUUAACUGAAUUUCCAAAAUUAUCGGGAAAAGUCCCAAUUUUAGAAUCACUCUAUUUGUCCAAUAACAAACUUAAAGGUAGAGUGCCACAUUGGUUGCAUGAAAUAUCGUUAUCUGAAUUGGACCUCUCUCAUAACCUAUUGACACAAUCAUUGCACCAAUUCUCGUGGAACCAACAACUCGGUUACCUUGAUCUUAGUUUUAACUCAAUCACUGGUGACUUCUCUUCCUCAAUUUGCAAUGCAAGUGCAAUUCAAAUUCUCAACUUGUCUCACAACAAGUUGACAGGAACCAUUCCACAAUGCCUUGCAAACUCAUUAUCCCUUCAAGUUUUGGAUCUACAACUGAACAAGCUUCAUGGCACUUUGCCAAGUAUCUUUUCAAAGGACUGUCGGCUCAGAACUCUGGAUCUCAAUGGCAACCAACUAUUAGAAGGUCUUUUGCCAGAAUCUUUGUCCAAUUGCAUUCAUCUGGAGGUUUUAGAUCUUGGAAACAAUCAAAUAAAGGAUGUGUUUCCCCAUUGGCUUCAAACUCUACCAGAAUUGAAAGUAUUGGUUUUGCGAGCCAACAAGUUGUACGGUCCCAUUGUCGGUUUAAAGAUCAAGCAUGGAUUCCCCCGUUUAGUCAUCUUUGAUGUCUCUUUCAACAACUUCAGCGGCCCAAUACCAAAAGCCUACAUACAAAAAUUUGAAGCGAUGAAGAACGUUGUUAUAGAUACCGAUCUGCAGUACAUGGAAAUUUCUAUUGGAGCUAAGAUGUACAGUGAUUCUGUGACUAUAACAACAAAAGCAAUUACUAUGACAAUGGACAAAAUUCCAAAAGGCUUUGUCAGCAUUGAUUUAUCAAAAAACGGAUUUGAAGGAGAGAUUCCAAAUGCCAUUGGAGAGCUUCAUGCCCUCAGAGGGCUCAACCUUUCCCAUAACAGAAUUAUUGGUCCUAUUCCCCAAUCCAUGGGAAAUUUGACAAACUUAGAAUCAUUGGAUCUCUCCUCAAAUAUGCUCACUGGUGGGAUACCUACGGAAUUAAGCAACUUGAACUUCCUUGAAGUCCUAAAUCUUUCCAAUAACCAUCUUGCUGGAGAAAUACCUCGAGGACAACAGUUCAGUACUUUUACCAAUGAUUCCUAUGAGGGAAACUCUGGGUUAUGUGGACUCCCACUGACAAUCAAAUGCAGCAAGGACCCUGAACAACAUUCUCCACCUUCAACUACCUUGAGGAGAGAAGGAGGAUUUGGAUUUGGUUGGAAACCAGUGGCUAUAGGAUAUGGAUGUGGAAUGGUCUUUGGAGUGGGAAUGGGAUGUUGUGUAUUGUUAAUAGGAAAGCCUCAAUGGCUUGUGAGAAUGGUCGGAGGUAAACCCAAUAAAAAGGUGAAAAGGAAGACAAGGAUGAGAUCUAAUGAAAAUGGUAGCAGAAUGAAUUAGUUGAUAUAUGGCAUGACUGGAGAAUGUCUUGUUACAUACCUGCCAUCUUUGAAAACAAAACUUAAGGGCAAGAACUUUAUCACACUGCAUUGCAUGGGAGAUCUGGUUCAAAGUUUUGCUGUAAUAUGAAUGUGUUAUACUCUUGCUUUUGUCGUAUAACUGUGGCAUUAAUUGGUUGUAUAAUAAUAGAUGUUGUAUAUUUUUAAAAAUGGUAUGUAUUGGCCAAUGCUAAAAUAUUUUGUAUCUUAAUUCAAGGAGCUGAAUUCACGGUUUUAGCUUCCAUUGUAGUCUAUUUAAUUAAUUUUCUAACUAUUUAACCACCGUGACAUGGCUUUAGAAGCUGAGGGGUCCAGGGACUUAACUAUAAGAGCACAAACAAUGCAUACUAAAAAGUUGCAUAUUUAUUUUUAUAGCCUAGGCCUCAUGGUCCGUAGGAUAUCACAUAUUUAUUUUUUAUUAAGUAAUUUUUCCCAAAUUAGAACAAUUGUCUGGUGAAAAUUUUCAAACUUUGAAAUAAAAGUUGCAGUACUAAAAUCAGUUAUAAUUAAACCUAAACUUUUUCUUUUUCAAUUACUAUUACGAUAAAUUGGUAGUGGUACGUGCUGUAAAUAUUACAUCUACUUAUAAUGUCAGCACCCAAAAAUUAUUUUUAUAAUGUAAAAUUUACAUUGUCAUUAAUUUGCUUUAUUAAUUUUUAUUAUAACUAUUUUAAAUUUAUAUUAUUAUCAUAAAAUCUGAAAAAUCGUAUCUAUAAUUUUUAAUUAAGCGUAAAAUUUUGUAACUUUUAUAAAUUUUAGUAAAUAUUAAAAAAAUAUAUAAUAUAAUGCUAGUAUUUUUCAAAAAAAUCAACAUUAUCAUUAAAUAAACCUGUGUGUUGUACAAUAAUUCCCUUUUAUCAUUCAAAAGAAAAAUUGAAACUGUUAUUCAAAAUAAAAUAACCAUUAGUGAAUUUUAUGAUAAUUACCUUAAUGAUUAAAUAUAUUUAGUUAAUUUUUUUUGCUCCCUAAUAAAUUUUUGUUUUGUUUUGAGUACUAUAUAAAACAAUAAUUUUAUUUUUGGUCCUAGAUAUUUUGUUGUAUAUAAUCCCUAAUAAGUUAGCAAAUUUUUGUUUACUUCCUUUUAAAUUAACAAAUUUUGUUUUAGUCCCAACUAAUAACAAAUGAAAAAAAUUAUCAAGAAAUAAACACACAAUUUGUGAAUCUAUCAGGGACUAAGAAAAGUAUCAAGAACCAAAAUAAAAUGAUUUUUUUAUUAGAAACUCAACGAAAAGUAAAAAUUUAUUAAAAAUUAAAUACAAAAAAUAAAUAUUUAUUAGGGAUUAAAAUUAUAAUUAAAACUUGUCUUAAAUAUUAAAUCUAUUAUAAUUAUUAAUUGGUUCACAACAUAUAAAUAUUUACACUUGUUAAAAUAUACUAUAAUUUCUCUUAAAUUAUUAGGUAAAAUUGGUAAGAGUGUGAGAAACUUAAUUAUUUAUCAAUACCAGCUAUGUGAAUGAACUAAUGUGGGUUUUUGAGCUAGAGACUCUUGGGAAAAAAAUAUUGUCUCAUAAUGAGAAGAAUACAUCAUAAAAAAAUAGAAAAUAUAAAAAUUUGUUUAAUAUGUUUCAACCCUCAUCCUUGCAUUGACAAUAUUAUACAUUUUAAGGAUAACAUAGAAAAAUUUACAAACAUUUUCUCCUUACGAUUUCCCCUCUGUUUGUUAGGGUAGUGACAGUUUCUUCGCACUAGAUGUGGUGAUUCUUCUCAUCUCAAAAAAUCUCUAUUUAUAAACCUAACAUUCUAAUAUUAACUGAAUUCAAAUCCUUAAUUUAUAAAUAAUAUAUUUAAUUCUAAAUGAUAUCCUAAAAAUAAGAUAAUAUCUUUUUUAAAAGCUAAACAAUAUCCUAUAGAUUUGUUAUUCAUUGAUUGAACCAUCAUUAAUUCCUACAUCCACAACUUUUAUAUAAGAUUUUAUGACAAGCAAGACAAACUUGCAAACCUUCCCUUGAUAUGACUCAUCUCUCUUAGGGUAUUGACCUAGGUUGAGUGAUUAUUCUUAUCUCAUAAAUCUUAUUUUAUAGACAUAACAUUCUAAUCUUAAAUGAGGAAACAAAUACCUAAUUUAUUAAUAAUAUAUUUAAUUUUAUCAACAUUCUAAAAAUAAGAUAAUAUCUUUUUUUAAGAAAAUAAAUAUCUUAUAGAUUUGAGAAUACAAAUAAGAUAUAUCUAACAAGAAGCAAAGUUGGACUUAUGUAGAUCAACCAACUAAUCCCUAUACCCACUCAUCACCUAAGCUCAGCCAAAACUCGCUUAGGCCUCAACCCUGCAUCGCUUAAGCUCUUAGCCAACACCACUUAAGCUACAUAAAAAAACAUGCUAAUUUUUGUGCCCAUUCUAGCUUAAGCGCUACCCAACACCAUUUAAGCUACUUCAAACUAAUUUACUCAAAUUAAAAAGAAUAAUGAUUCAACUAUUUAAUCACUACACAUUAAAUACCUAAUUUAUUUUCCGCACAUCACGCAACUGGUCCAUUUAUCUUUUUUAUUUAUUUCUUACAUGUAAUUUUCUUUUUAUUUUUUAAAAUCCAAAAUUUUCAUCUCUAUUUUAAAAUAAAGAUAUUUAAUCGAUUGUUUUUUACGAUCUAUAAUUUUAAUUUUCUAUUUUAAAAUAGAAAUAUUAGUCAUUUAUAUUUAUAAAAUAUGGAAUUUUAGUUAUCCCCAACUAAAAGCUUUGAUUGUUAAGAGCUUAAUCUUUAUUAUGAUAUAGAUUAACUAAAUUAUCUUGUGUCACAUUAUUAGAUUUGAAUCACAUCAAGUUAGCUUCUUACUAAUCAACGCUAAAUGAUUAUGUGGAUAUAAUCACAAAUGAUCAAAAUUAUAAAUUUUAUAACCUUAAGUAAUUAAUUGUUUUUAUUUUAAAAUAGAAGUAUUAAAAUUGUAAAAUAUAAAAAUUAAGACGGUCAAAUAUUUUUUAAAAUAUAGAAAUCAAAAUUAGAUAUUUUGAAAAUAGGAAAAAAUUACAUUUAAGUUUUUAUUUUUAUUUUUUACCGGAGGUCCAUAUGUCUAGUACUUAGAAAUCACGUCAUUAUAAAAAUGCGCCACUAGAGCAUAAUAUAAUAGCAUGAAGGACGUCAUUAUAAUUACAUUUAAGCCAUGAAGAACGUUGUUAUAUAUGCCAAUCCGCAAUACAUGGAAACUUCUGUUAUGGUUAGUGACACCAACAACACUGAUCAUGAAACCAACUACGCUGAUUCUGUGACUGUAACAAAAAAAAACAAUUACUAUGAAAAUGGACAAAAUUCGAAAUGACUUUGUAAGCAUUGCACAACAGAUUUGUAGGAGAGAUAUUCCAAAUGCCAUUGGAGAGCUUCACUCACUCAGAGGGCUAAACCUUUCCCAUAACAGAUUUAUUGGUCCUAUUCUACAAUCCAUUGGAAAUUUGACAAAGUUAGAAUCAUUGGAUCUCUCCUCAAAUAUGCUCACUGGCGGGAUACCUAGAGAAUUAAGCAAUUUGAACUUUCUUGAAGUCCAAAAUCUUUCCAAUAACCAUCUUGCAUUUGUGGGAGAAAUACCUCAAGGAAAACAGUUCAGUACUUUUUCCAAUGACUCCUAUGGUAGAAACUUGGGGUUGUGUGGACUCCCAUUGACAGCAGAAUGCAGCAAGGACCUUGAACAACAUUCUCCACCUUCACUAACCGUUGGGGGAGAACAGGGAGUUGGAUUUGGUUGGAAACCAGUGGCUAUGUGAUAUGGAUGCGGAAUGGUCUUUGGAGUGGGAAUGGGAUGUUGUGUAUUGUUAAUAGGAAAGCCUCAAUGGCUAGUGAGAAUGGUUGGAGGUCAACUCAAUAAAAAGGUGAAAUGGAAGACAAGGAUGAGAGCUAAUGAGAAUGGUAGCAGACUGAAUUAGUUGAUAUGUGGCAUGACUGUAGAAUGUCUUCUUGCACACCUUCCUGUUGAAAUUCAAUUCUGCCUUGUUGGAAAACAAAACUUAAGGGCAAGAACCUUAUCACACUGCAUUGCAUAUGCAUGCGAGAUCUGAUUCAAAGUUUAGUUGUAAUUGUAAUAUGGUGUUGUACUUUUUUUUCUUUGUGUUCAAUAAAUGAGUGUGAUAUACUUUUUUUUUUCUUCCAUUGCCCCAGAAACUCGGGUCUGAAUCAUCCAAAAGUUUGAUAAUUUUUCUGUUCAUUAAUACGCUUAGAUUGUUUUAUUUUUUUAAACUUUUUUAUAUUGGUGAAUAGUAUCAAGUUAAGUAGUGAAUAAUGUGUUGACAAUCAACAAUCAUUUCGCUAAUAUGCUGCAUAUUAGAAAAUUGUAGCAGUCAUUAAUACCAAUUUGCAUUAUGCACGCUAUUUUGAUCCCAUUGCUGUUGUGGAAGUAGUUUUGCUCCAGACAAGGAAUGGAAAUUGACCAGGAAUUUUGUUUUUUUGUGCCAUCGAUUGAGUUUGUAUAAGUGAAGAUAUGUUGAUCUUCUGACAACCUUUUUUUUUUCGAAAUUAUAAUAAUUACUAGUUCGCUAUCUAAAUUCAUGGGAAAUUGAAAAUUGAUUCCCACGAAACUGUAUUCUUCUUCUACAUUACACUUCUCAGGUGUUCAUAGAAGUCCUCUUCCUACUGGUAAGCCGUAUCAUAUUCACUCUCCCUUGCAUUCUGAUUUUUACUUAUAAAUAAGUUAAUGUCUAAGAGCAGGGUUGAAUGAGCGUAAAAAAAGAGAUAUUUUCUAUGAAGUUUUAAAACAAAUUUUACCGAAUUACAUUGUAAUUGAUCAAAUUCCAGAACCAGCCAUUUUGUAUUCUGUUCUGUUAGGCUCUAGCGUAGCUAACCCUAUACGAACUGGCUUAGCACACUUUACAUUAGUGGUUGGGUCUUGAACAUAUAUAGUUUCUUAUGCUUUAAAUUAAUAUUAAGCAUUGUGUUACUUCUAUGAUUGAGACAGCUAAUAGAGGAUGGGGUUGGAUUUUGGAAAUAAGGGGCUCAGAUACAAGUCUAGAUCCUCUUUAGUUUGUGAACUAAAAUUUUUGUUUUGGUUUUGCCUAUCUCUUAAUCUCUUAAGCUAUUAAAAUUAUUCUAGAAUCCACCUAAAGUUUUUUAUUCAAAAAUAAGUGUUGGAGUCUUAAGAUAAUGGUAUCAAGUUUAUUUAUGUAAUUUGUUUUUGGUGACCUAUUGCGGAAAAUCUUUUUAGUAUUUACUUUCUUGGAUUUUUCAAAAAAUUGAUAUUAGAGUCAAUCUUCGAUUUAGUGACCGGUUUAGACGAGGAAGAUGACGUUGAUGAAUUUAUGGAUAUAGAAUUUAUUGUAUCAAAAGUCUUUCUAUCAGCUGAAUUCAUGCAUAAAUGUCACGUAGCAAAGUUGUAGGUGUUACAAUAGUGCAAGCUACUAGAACAUGUUAUGACAAUGGCUAGACAAGCUAGAGACAAUAAAAAUUAAGUUUUAUGGGUCACCAUUAAAUAUUCUUAGAUUGAAAAUGACUUUCGGUCUUGACUUGAGAGCCUUUUUCUUAGUUUACACCUCGGCUGUGCCAUUAACAAUUGAUAAUGCUGUCUAGCAAGCUAUAUUGUGAAGAUAAAUACUUCUCUCCAUAUUUGUCCAUUUUACAUAUUUCCUGGUGUCAAAAUAUUAUUUUUAUUGUAUUUUUAUAUUUCCUGGUGUCAAGUAUCAAUGAUAAGUUUUACCAAAAAAUAAUAAUCAAUAACUAUAGUUAUGUAUAUAAGGAUAAUAAUUAUUUGACCUCUACAACAGGAUCCUAGUAUGAAGUAGUUCUGUAUGUAAAUCUUGCACAGACAAGCCAAAAUAAUAUAGCAUUGAUCAACCUGUUAAUUAGAAGAAUCAAGUUAAAAGCAGCUUGAAAAAGAGCAGGUAUAUGUAAAUAAUAGAAUACGGGGCCAUCUUGCAGUUGAGAGCGUCAUCUUUCUCCUCAUUUUGGAAUCACUCAAAUCCAAAUUUUGUAGAUUGAGAUAAUAUCAAAAUUUAAAACUUGUUCUAGGUCGUGUUUGGUGUGCAAAUUCUAUCUUAGAAGAUCCAAUUUGAACCAAGCACGUGGUUUCCCAUCACUUCUAUACUUGAAAAUAUAAAUAUGCUACAUUAAAGAGUUUUAUUCCAUUGAAUAUUCUUUCAGAAAAUGAUUUCGCAUUGGAUGUUCCUUCUUUCUAAAUGUGAUCUUUAAAACAAUGUAGAAUUUAUAAAAAAAAAUUGCGUGUAAUGUUCCUUCUUUAACAAAGGGGUCUUUGAACAAUUUUAAAUUUUAUAAACAUUUACUAAUUCUUUUUCUGUCGAUCACCAGAGGCUUAGUAUUAGAAUUUCAAAAUUUAGAUGUGAAAGGACGAAAACUGCAAUGUGAAAAGUGAAAGUUGUUACGUGGAAGUAUAUAUGGCAAAACGAAAAGAAAAAUUGGAAAGAACAAACUCCGUGUGAGCAUCACUAAUUAAAGUUAAAGUUGGACUAAAUUAAAAGAACCAAUAAAAACAAAAGUAAGAUCACUAAUUAAAGUUAAAGUUAGACUAAAAAAAAGAACCAAUACAAACAAAAGUAAGAGAAAUAAAAGGCAACAACUUACAGGUACCUCUCCAAAUACUUGCAAGCUUAAUAAAAUAAUUAAUGAAAAUCUAAUAAUAAAAAAUGGAGGAAAUAGCCAACAUACCUGCAAUAUAUUACCAUGCAUUGUUACAUCUCUACCACAAAACAUGAAUAUCUAAUCUUAUUGGAAACGAUAUUAAUGGAUGAAAUGAUAAACAUCUCUUUUUAAACCUUAUACAUCAUUCACAUAAUUAUUUCAUGUAUCUUGUUUAACAUUUUCUAAUUUUAAUUUAUAUUUUCUUCUUCGUAAAUAUAAAGAUAUGUACACCAAUUAACAAAGUUCAUGUUGUUUACAACUUCCUUUAAAAACAAUGUUGUUUACAACUUAUUUUCUACAUUAAUUAUUAUCUUAAUCUUUUUUUUUCAAACAAAACUCAUACUCAAUUUUUCAUAUAAAAAUUAGUUCUAACAUUUAAUUUUAUUCUCAAUGUUAAGCAACCACAUUAAUAACACUUUCAAAUCAUCCACCGUAUUCUAACAAUGUCCAACUCCUAAAUUGUGACAGAUAUAAGUUUUCUAACUUAUAAAUAUUUUAAUUACUAAAUUAAAUUUUUGACAAAUAUUAAUUUUAAAAAUAUGUUAAUUUUAUACAUAUGCUUUCAACGAAUAUUUUAGAAUUAUGUAUUUUUUAAUUUAAUAUAAUAUUUUUUUAAAUAUUUCUAACAUCUUGAAAUUAUAUCAUAUACAAUUAUUAAUUUACAAAUAACUUUAUAAAUGAUAUAAUUUUGACAAAUAAAUUUUUUAUGUAUAAUUUCAAAAAAUAUUUUAUAAUUUAAUUUUUUUAUAGUUUAAGGUAAUAUUUAUAUUUUAAAUAUUUUUUCUCCGAAUUAUAGUUUAAGGUAAUUUAUUUUUCAAGGGUUAAUAUUAUUGUUAGAGUCUGUUUAGCAAGCACUAUGAGUCUGUUUCACAAGUCACUCCAGUAGCUUAUAAUUUUGUUUGACUAGCAUAUAAGUUGAUUUUAUCAAAAUAAGUUUGGGUAUCAAAACAAACUUAAUUUAAUAACUUUUAGCUUAUUUUCAGACGCUAUUUCAACUAGUAUUUUAGCUUAUAAGUUAUUAAUUUAUUUUUAUAUUUAUAUUUUAUUAUUUUACUUUGAAUUAUUUUUUAUCCUUUUUUAAAUAAAACAAAUUUAUUUAAUUAAAAUAUAAUUUUUUAGAAAAAGAAGGACACAAGUCAUAAAAAAUAAAAAAAACUACAACACUCCAUUGUUUUCAAAAGUCAUAAAUCCAUAUACAUGAAGAGGGUUAAACAAAUUCAUCAAGUCUCUAUCAUUCUUUUAUAGUAUCAAACUAAAAUUAUUUUCCUAUUUUUAUAGGAUAAUAAAUUAUUACUAUAAAAAAGAUUAUAAAUUAUUAAAAAUAAAUUCAUAUAUAUAUAAUUAUAACCAAAUAACUAAAAUAGUUUUCUUAUUAACAAAUCUUAUGGGAAAAAAAUUAAUUCAAUGAGCUACCUCACAAGCUAGUUCUGUCUGGCACACCCUAGCUAUUUCUUCCUUUGAAAUAUUUUUUGUUUGAAUUGUUUAGAUUUAAAUAUAUUUUUAAUUCUUACUAAAAAAAUUUAAUUUUGUCUUUUGUCCCUGUUAAAUUAUUGUUAACUUUUUGGUCCUUAAUAAAAAAAUUUAUUUUAUUUUUUGACUUUGGAUUUAUUUAGAUAGGGCUUUAAAAAUGAAAUAAAAUUAUUUUCAAAGUUAUUUAAGAAAAAACAAAACAAAAAUAUUAUUACAAACCAAAAAGUUAAUGGAAAUUUAUCAGGAAUUAAAGAACAAAAUUUUAAGAUUUAUGAACAACCAAAAAUAUAUUUAAACAGUUUAUAAAACAAAGAGAACAUGAAAAAUCAAUCAUUAUGCUAUUCUCCUUGAACAAGAGUUAUAAUUUCCAUCUAGUACUUCUUUAUUUGUGGAUAUUGAAAUUAUUCGAUGUAACGCCUUUAAAAUAAAUUUCAGAGAGCAACUCAGCCCAUACACUAGAUUGUGUUCUACCUUGACAGUUGAAAAAAAUGCAUUAAAAAGAAGGAUUUGCCGUGAAGGUUCAAGACAAUACAUGCAUGUUUAAUUUUAAAUGAUGAUGAUAUAAACACUAUAAGGUUAUUUGUUAUUUAUUUGAUAAGUUAACUGACUGAAUAUUUAAUUCCACUCCACUACUUGCUAAAACUGACCACCCUCAUCCGAUUCACCGAAGGUUUACAAAAUUCGCUCCGUCAUGUUAUUCCAUUUCUAGUUGGUAUUUUAAAGGGAAAAAAAUGGUUAAAUAAAGAUAUGAAGCAGAAAAAUCAAAUAAAUCAUGUUUGCAGAAAAAUGAGUUCCAAGUCAUGCGUGAGGGAUGGGCUGUUGAAGUCUUGAAGCUUAAUUUAGCCACAAACUUUGCAUAGUGUUUUUAAUUUGGGUAUAAAUAUUAGUGUUUGGUUCCUCAGUAUUUCAUGUAUAUUUUCCCUUAUAGUAAACAGUUUUGAGUAGAAUAUGGAAUCAUGGAUGUGGUGUUUCCUUCUCUGUUCCCAUUUGCUCAUCCUUUAUUUUUCACCCUCUCAUUCCUUAUGCCACCCCCAUGACAACUCUGCCUUGCUCCACUUCAAAAACUCCUUCACUAUUUAUGAAGAUCCUUAUUAUUCUUAUUAUUGUGAUCAUGGUUAUUCAAAGACGACAACAUGGGAAAAUGGGAGAGAUUGUUGCUCUUGGGCUGGAGUCACCUGCCACCCCAUCUCAGGUCACGUCACUGAGCUCGACCUCAGCUGCAGUGGCCUUCACGGCAAUAUCCAUCCAAACAGUACGCUUUUCCAUCUUUCUCAUCUUCACUCACUCAACCUUGCUUUCAAUCAUUUGUAUACAUCUCAUUUGUCAUCUCUCUUUGGUGGGUUUGUGAGCCUCACACAUCUCAACUUGUCUCAUUCUGAAUUUGAAGGGGAUAUUCCUUCCCAAAUCUCUCACCUUUCCAAAUUAGUCUCACUUGAUCUCUCGUACAAUUUGUUAAAGUGAAAGGAAGACACUUGGAAGAGUUUGCUAAAAAAAUGCAACAGUUUUAAAGGUGCUUCUUUUGGAUUUUACAGAUAUGUCUUCCAUUUCAAUCAGGACACUCAAUAUGUCUUCUUCUUUGGUAACUCUUGGUCUUCUAGCAAAUGGGCUAAGCGGAAAGUUGACAGAUGGCAUUCUUUGUUUACCAAAUCUUCAGUACCUAUAUCUUUCAUUUAAUGAGGACCUUCAUGGUCAGCAGCUUCCAGAAAUGAGUUGCAGCACAACUUCUCUUGGUUUCUUAGAUCUUUCAGGUUGUGGUUUCCAAGGGUCAAUCCCUCCCUCUUUCUCUAACCUCACACAUCUUACUUCCCUGGAUCUCUCAGCUAACAACCUCAAUGGUUCAGUCCCAUCCUCACUCUUAACCCUUCCACGGCUAACCUUUCUGAAUCUAAACAAUAACCAACUCAGUGGUCAAAUCCCAAAUAUUUUUCCUAAGUCAAACAACUUUCACGAAUUGCAUUUGAGUUAUAACAACAUAGAGGGUGAGAUCCCAUCAACACUUUCAAAUCUUCAACAUCUCAUUAUCUUGGAUCUGUCACUUUGUGAUUUCCAAGGUUCAAUCCCUCCCUCUUUCUCUAACCUCAUACUUCUUACUUCCCUGGAUCUCUCAUAUAACCACCUCAACGGUUCAGUCCCAUCCUCGCUCUUAACCCUUCCACGGCUAACUUUUCUAAAUCUCAAUGCUAAUUGUCUCAGUGGUCAAAUCCCAAAUGUCUUUCUUCAGUCAAACAACAUUCACGAAUUGGAUUUGAGUAAUAACAAAAUAGAGGGUGAGCUGCCAUCAACACUUUCAAAUCUUCAACGUCUCAUUCUCUUGGAUCUUUCACAUAAUAAAUUUAUUGGUCAAAUCCCAGAUGUGUUUGUCGGGCUAACCAAAUUGAAUAGUCUCAAUCUUUCGGAUAACAAUUUAGGAGGCCCAAUCCCAUCUUCAUUAUUUGGCUUAACACAAUUUUCUUACUUGGAUUGUUCUAAUAAUAAAUUGGAGGGCCCCCUGCCGAACAAAAUAAGAGGGUUUUCAAAUCUAACAUCGUUAAGGUUAUAUGGCAACUUCCUGAAUGGAACAAUUCCUUCUUGGUGUUUAUCUUUGCCAUCUUUGGUGGAUUUAUAUCUAUCAGAAAACCAAUUCUCAGGGCAUAUUAGUGUAAUCUCAUCAUAUUCAUUGGUGAGAUUAUCUUUAUCCCACAACAAGUUACAAGGCAAUAUUCCAGAUACAAUUUUCAGCCUUGUAAACCUUACUGACUUAGAUCUAUCAUCAAACAAUUUAAGCGGAUCUGUCAACUUUCCACUUUUCUCAAAGCUUCAAAAUUUGGAAAGACUUAAUCUUUCACAUAAUAAUCAGUUAUCACUAAAUUUCAAAUCCAAUGUCAAUUAUAGUUUUUCCAGUUUAUGGAGUUUGGACUUAUCUUCUACGGGUUUAACUGAAUUUCCAAAAUUAUCAGGAAAAGUCCCAAUUUUGAAAUUACUCCAUUUGUCCAAUAAUACACUUAAAGGUAGAGUACCAAAUUGGUUGCACGACACGAACUCAUCGUUAUAUUUAUUGGACCUCUCUCAUAACCUAUUGACGCAAUCAUUGGACCAAUUCUCAUGGAACCAACACCUCGUUUACCUUGAUCUUAGUUUUAACUCAAUCACUGCUGGCUCUUCCUCAAUUUGCAAUGCAACUGCAAUUGAGGUUCUCAACUUAUCUCACAACAAGUUGACAGGAACCAUUCCACAAUGCCUUAUUAACUCAUCAACCCUGGAAGUUUUGGAUCUGCAACUGAACAAGCUUCAUGGCCCUUUGCCAAGUACCUUUGCAAAGAACUGUCAGCUCAGAACUCUAGAUCUCAAUGGCAACCAAUUAUUAGAAGGUUUUCUGCCAGAAUCUUUGUCCAAUUGCAUUAAUCUGGAGGUUUUAAAUCUUGGAAACAAUCAAAUAAAGGAUGUGUUUCCCCAUUGGCUUCAAACUCUACCAGAAUUGAAAGUAUUGGUUUUGAGAGCCAACAAGUUGUACGGUCCCAUUGAGGGUUCAAAGACCAAGCAUGGAUUCCCCAGUUUAGUUAUUUUUGAUGUCUCUUCCAACAACUUCAGCGGCUCAAUACCAAAUGCCUACAUAAAAAAAUUUGAAGCCAUGAAGAACGUUGUUCUAUAUCCCGAUUGGCAAUACAUGGAAAUUUCUAUUUCUUUUGCAGAAACCAACUACCAUGAUUCUGUGACUAUAACAACAAAAGCAAUUACUAUGACAAUGGACAGAAUUCGAAAUGACUUUGUAAGCAUUGAUUUAUCCAAAAACAGAUUUGAAGGAGGGAUUCCAAAUGCCAUUGGAGAGCUUCAUUCACUCAGAGGACUCAACCUUUCCCAUAACAGGCUUAUUGGUCCUAUUCCCCAGUCCAUGGGAAAUUUGAGAUACUUAGAAUCAUUGGAUCUCUCCUCAAAUAUGCUCAUUGGUGGGAUACCUACAGAAUUAAGCAAUUUGAACUUUCUUGAAGUCCUAAAUCUUUCCAAUAACCAUCUUGUGGGAGAAAUACCUCGAGGACAACAGUUCAAUACUUUUCCCAAUGAUUCCUACAAGGGAAACUCUGGGUUAUGUGGACUCCCACUGACAAUCAAAUGCAGCAAGGACCCUGAACAACAUUCUCCACCUUCAACUACCUUCAGGAGAGAACCAGGAUUUGGAUUUGGUUGGAAACCAGUGGCUAUAGGAUAUGGAUGUGGAGUGGUCUUUGGAGUGGGAAUGGGAUGUUGUGUAUUGUUAAUAGGAAAGCCUCAAUGGCUUGUGAGAAUGGUCGGAGGUAAACUCAAUAAAAAGGUGAAAAGGAAGACAAGGAUGAGAUCUAAUGAAAAUGGUAGCAGAAUGAAUUAGUUGAUAUAUGGCAUGACUGGAGAAUGUCUUGUUCCAUACCUGCCAUCUUUGAAAACAAAACUUAAGGGCAAGAACUUUAUCACACUGCAUUGCAUGGGAGAUCUGGUUCAAAGUUUUGCUGUAAUAUGAAUGUGUUAUACUUUUGCUUUUUGUGUUCUUUUUUUGUUUGUUAUGUGUAGAAGAGUGCAUGUACUUCAUUUGCCUUGAGCUUGCAGUUUUGAUUUAUUUAAUACGUAUAACUGUAGCAUUAAUUGGUUGUAUAAUAAUAGAUGUUGUAUAUUUUUAAAAAUGAUAUGUAUUGGCCAAUGCUAAAAUAUUUUGUAUCUUAACAGUAUGCAGUUGUCUCAUUUCAUUGAAGGAGCUCAAUUCACGGUUUUAGCUUGUAUUGUAGUCUAUUUACUUAAUUUGCUAAAUUAUCAAACUGUUAUUCAAAAUAAAAUAAGCAUUAGUGACUUUUAUAAUAAUUACCUUAAUGAUUAAAUAUAUUUUUAUUUUCAAUAAAUAGUUGAUUUUUUUGUUUAUUUCCCAAUAAAAAAAAUUAUUUUGAGUACCUUAUAAAAUAAUAAAUUUUUUUGUUUCCCAGAUAUUUUUUUUGUAAUCCCUAAUAAAUUAGCACAUUUUUGUUUACUCCCUCUUAAAUUAACGAAUUUUGUUUUAAUCCUGAUUAAUAAUAAAUAAAAAAAAUUAUUAAGAAAUAAAUAAAUACACAAUUUGUGAAUUUAUCAUGGACUAAGAAAAGUAUCAAGGAUCAAAAUAAAAUGAUUUUUUUAUUUGAAACUCAACGGAAAGUAAAAUUUUAUUAAAAAUUAAAUAUUUAUUAGUUAUUAAAAUUAUAGUUAAAACUUAUCUUAAAGAUUAAAUAUAUUAUAAUUUUUAUUUGGUUCACAACAUAUAAAUAUUUACCAUUGUUAAAAUAUACUAUAAUUUCUCUUAAAUUAUUUUAAUGAAAAUAAAUAGUAAAAUAGUAGGAACUUAAUCUAAGUUACGUUUAGUAAAUAUUGGGUAAAAUUGGUAAGAGUGUGAGAAACUUAAUUAUUUAUCACUACCAAAUAUGUGGAUCAACUAAUGUGGGUUGUUGAGCCAGAGACUCAUGAGAAAAAAUAUUGUCUCAUAGUGAGAAGAAUAAAUCAUAAAAAAUAGAAAAGAUAAUAAAUUUGUUCAAUAUGAUUUAGACCUUCAUCCUUGUAUUAACAAUCUGAUACAUUUUAAGGACAAUUUAGACAAACUUACAAACAUUCUCUUCUAACGAUUCCCCUAUCUUAGUUAGGGUAGUGAUAUUUUCUUCACACUAGAUGUGGUGAUUCUUUUUAUCUCAAAAAAUUUCUAUUUACAGAUCUAACUAAUCUUAAAUGAAUUCAAAUCCAUAAUUUACAAAUAAUAUAUUUAAUUCUAAAUGGUAUCCUAAAAAUAAGAUAAUAUGUUUUUAAAAAUCUAAACAAUAUCCUAUAAAUUUGAUAUUCAUUGAUUGGACCAUCAUUAAUUCCUACAUACCCAACCUCUAUAUAAGUUUUUAUGACAAGUUAGACAAACUUACAAAUAUUUCCUCUACAUGACUCAAUCUCUCUUAGGGUGUUGACCUAGGCUGAGUGAUUAUUCUCAUCUCAUAAAUCUUAUUUUAUAGACAUAACAUCCUAAUCUUAAAUAAGAAAACAAAUAUCUAAGGGUGUGUUAGGUUUGCAUUUUUAUUUUUUAUUUUCAUUUCCUGUUUUUAUUUUCUGAAAACUGUUUUCAUUUUUCAAAUAUUAGAAUUCUAAAAACAUGUUUGGUUUGAUUUUUUGUUUUAUGUUCUCAGGAAAUAAAAACACUGAAAAUUUAUGAUAUAUUAACUUCUUGUUUUUUUUUGUAUUUUUAGAUUUGCUUAAAAUUACAUUCUUUGCCAUUACGUUUUUAUUUUAUCCAAAAUAAGGGUCCUGUUUUAACUGAAAACGAGAUGUUAUUGUUUUCAUUUUCUGGUUGUUUCCUAUUUUCAUUUUCACUCAAAAUGUUUUUAAAAAUCGAAUCAAACACAUCUUCAUCAUUAUUUUCUGUUUUCAGUGAAAAUGAAAACAAAAAACAACCAAAUCAAACACCUCCUAAUUUAUUAAUAAUAUAUUUAAUUUUAACAACAUUCUAAAAAUAAGAUAAUAUUUUGGUUAAGAAAACAAUAUCUGACAAAUUUGAGAAUACAAAUUUAAAUUAUUUCCUAAUAAAGUCAUCGAUAUGUAGUUAAAUACUUAGAAAAAGAGUUUCAUCAUCCAUAAUAAUCAUAUUGACUCAAACAAGAUUAUCUUCAAUCAAAUAUACCUAUCUACGGAAGAAAGACCUAUGUAAGAUAAAUCUAACAUGAAGCCAAGUUGGACUUAUGUAGAUCAAUUAACCAACUAAUCCCUAUGCCCACUCAUCACCUAAGCUCAACCAAACUCGCUUAAGCCCCAACCCUGCAUCGCUUAAGCUCUUAGCCAACACCACUUAAGCUACAUCAAAAAACAUGUUAGUUUUUGUGCCCAUUCUAGCUUAAGCGCUACCCAACACCACUUAAGCUACUUCAAACUAAUUUACUCAAAUUAAAAAAAUAAUAAUGAUUCUACUAUUUAAUCACUACACAUUAAAUACCUAAUUUAUUAUCCGCUUAUCAAGCAACUGGUCCAUUUAUCUUUUUUAUUUGUUUAUUACAUGUAAUUUUUAUUUCUUUUAUUUUUUAAAAUCUAAAAUUUUGAUCUCUAUUUUAAAAUAAAGAUAUUUAGUCUAUUAUUUUUUACAAUCUAAAAUUUUAGUUUUCUAAUUUAAAAUAGAAAUAUUAGUCUUUUAUAUUUAUAAAAUAUGUAAUUUUAGUUAUCCCAACUAAAAGCAUUGUCUGCUAAGAGCUUAAUUUUAAUUAUGAUACAGAUUAAAUAAAUUAUCUUGUAUCACAUUAUUAAAUUUGAAUCACAUUAAGUUAGCUUCUUAUUAAUUAACGCUAAAUGAUUAUGUGGAUAUAGGCAUACGGAUGAUUAAAAUGAUGAAUUUUAUAAAAUUAAGUAAUUAUAUGUUUUUAUUUUAAAAUAGAAGUAUUACAAUUGUAAAAUAUAAAAAUUAAGAAGAUUAAAUAUUUUUUAAAAUAUAGAUAUUAAAAUUAAAUAUUUUGAAAAUAGGAAAAAAAAUAUAUUUAAGUUUUCUUUUACCGGAGGUCCAUAUGUCCAGUACUUAGAAAUCUCGUCAUGAUAAAAAUGCGUCACUAGAGCAUAAUAUAAUAGCAUGAAGAACGUCAUUAUAAUUACAUUUAAGCCAUGAAGAACGUUGUUAUAUAUGCCAAUCCGCAAUACAUGGAAACUUCUGUUAUUGUUAGUGACACCAACAACAUUGAUCAUGAAACCAACUACGCUGAUUCUGUGACUGUAACAACAAAAGCAAUUACUAUAUGAAAAUGGAUAAAAUUUGAGAUGACUUUGUAAGCAUUGAUUUAUCGCACAACAAAUUUGAAGGAGAGAUUCCAAAUGCCAUUGGAGAGCUUCAUUCACUCAGAGGGCUAAACCUUUCCCAUAGCAGGCUUAUUGGUCCUAUUCCCCCAUCCAUGUGAAAUUUGACAAAUUUAGAAUCAUUGGAUCUCUCCUCAAGUAUGCUCACUGGCGGGAUACCUAGAGAAUUAAGCAAUUUGGACUUUCUUGAAGUCCUAAAUCUUUCCAAUAACCAUCAUGUGGGAGAAAUACCUCAAGGAAAACAGUUCAGCAGUACUUUUUCCAAUGACUCCUAUGAUAGAAACUUGGGGUUAUGUGGACUCCCAUUGACAGCAGAAUGAAGCAAGGACCUUGAACAACAUUCUCCACCUUCACUAACCUUUGGGGGAGAACAGGGAUUUGGAUUUGGUAGAAAGCAGUGGCUAUAAUGCGGAAUGGUCUUUGGAAGGGGAAUGGGAUGUUGUGUAUUGUUAAUGGGAAAGCCUCAAUGGCUUGUGAGAAUGGUUGGAGGUCAACUCAAUAAAAAGGUGAAAUGGAAGACAAGGAUGAGAUCUAAUGAAAAUGGUAGCAGAACGAAUUAGUUGACAUGUGGCAUGACUGUAGAAUGUCUUCUUGCUCACCUUCCCGUUGAAAUUCAAUUCUGUCUUGUUGGAAAACAAAACUUAAGGGCAAGAACCUUAUCACACUGCAUUGCAUAUGCAUGGGACAUCUGAUUCAAAGUUUAGUUGUAAUUGUAAUAUGGUGUUGUACUUUUUUUUCUUUGUGUUCGAUAGAUGAGUGUGAUAUACUUUUUUUUUUACUUCCAUUGCCCCAGAAACUCGGGUCUGAAUCAUCCAUAAGUUUGAUAAUUUUUCUGUUCAUUAAUACGCUUAGAUUGUUUUAUUUUUUUUAACUUUUUUAUAUUGGUGAAUAGUAUCAAGUUAAGUAGUGAAUAAUGUGUUGACAAUCAACAAUCAUUUCACUAAUAUGCUGCAUAUUACAAAAUUGUAGCAGUCAUUAAUACCAAUUUGCAUUAUCGACGCUAUUUUGUUCCCAUUGCUGUUGUGGAAGUACUUUUGCUCCAGACAAGGAAUGGAAAUUGACCAGGAAUUUUGUUUUUUUGUGCCAUCGAUUGAGUUUGUAUAAGUGAAGAUAUGUUGAUCUUCUGACCACCUUUUUUUUCGAAAUUAUAAUAAUUACUAGUUCGCUAUCUAAAUUCAUGGGAAAUUGAAAAUUGAUUCCCACGAAACUGUAUUCUUGUUCUACAUUACACUUCUCAGGUGUUCUUAGAAGUCCUCUUCCUACUGGUAAGCCAUAUCAUAUUCACUCUCCCUUGAAUUCUGAUUUUUACUUAUAAAUAAGUUAAUGUCUAAGAGCAGGGUUGAAUGAGCGUAAAAAUUAGUUUGUAUGCUUUAAAUUAAUAUUAAGCAUUGUGUUACUUCUAUGAUUGAGACAGCUAAUAGAGGAUGGGGUUGGAUUUUUGAAAUAAGGGGCGCAGAUACAAGUCUAGAUCCUCUUUAGUUUGUGAACUAAAAUUUUUGUUUUGGUUUUGCCUAUCUCUUAAGCUAUUAAAAUUAUUCUAGAAUCCACCUAAAGUUUUUUAUUCAAAAAUAAGUGUUGGAGUCUUAAGAUAAUGAUAUCAUUAAGAUAAUGAUAUCAAGUUUAUUUAUGUAAUUUGUUUUUGGUGACUUAUUGCAGAAAAUCUUCUUGAUAUUUACUUUCUUGGAUUUUUCAAAAAAUUGAUAUUAGAGUCAAUCUUCGACAUAGUGACCGGUUUAGACAAGGAAGAUGACGUCGAUGAAUUUAUGGAUAUAAAGUUUAUUGUAUCAAAAGUCUUUCUGUCACCUGAAUUCAUGCAUAAAUGUCACGUAACAGAGUUGUAGGUGUUAUGUACAAUAAUGCAAGAUACUAAAACAUGUUAUGACAAUGGCUAGAAGAGCUAGAGACACUAAAAAUUAAGUUUCAUGAGUCACUAUUAAAUAUUCUUAGAUUGAAAAUGACUUUCGGUCUUGACUUGAGAGCCUUUUUCUUAGUUUACACCUGGCUGUGCCAUUAACAAUUGAUAAUGCUGUCUAGCAAGCUAUAUUGUGAAGAUAAAUACUUCUCUUCAUAUUUGUCCAUUUUACAUAUUUCCUGGUGUCAAAAUAUUAUUUUUAUUGUAUUUUUAUAUCCUUUAAAAUAAAUUUGCUUUUGGAGUUUUCUCUUGGACGAGAUACCAUUCAAAGAAUUUCACAUAAUGUAAAUGCACGGGGUUCUUUUUUAAUUUUGAUUUUGUGGCAUUUAUCUCUAUAUUUGGUUGAUAUAUUUGAAACUUGAUAGCGCGAUUAGCUGAUGUAUCAGUCAACGGACCCUAGUAUGGAAAAAGAAUACGGUGAAGACAGAAUUUUUCCACAAACUAAUGUAUCAGCGUGAGUUUCCUUUAAUUUUCUUUUGAUUUAAAUAUUUUUGUGGACGUGUUUUAAUUUUCAUUUUUUGAUGUGAUUGGCGAGCUUAAUUUUCUAACCCAUAUUUUAAGGGUUGGCAGACUUGGAAAUCAACGCUUGGAUUUAAUUGAACUGGCUGUUUAUACAUGUUUUGUUUUUAGAAUCAUAUCACAUAUAUGUAGUCUGUUGGUGAAAGUAUAUAGUGGCAGCUUAUGUUUUGGGCAGAAAUUGUUUCCUCAAACUUUCAUGUGAUAAGACAAAUUAACUUCUGAAUUUUCACAAUAAUAUUCUUCUAUGCUAUCAUAAGAAGAAGAAAAAACCACCAAUAACUUGUAGAUGCAUGUUCUCUUAAACAGGUGGUAUUCUUCUAGACCCAAAAAAAAAGGUGGUAUUCUCUGUGUUCAAUUAUAUCUUUUGGCUGGGAUCUUCCUUUUUCAUAUGUUGGGGUUUAAAAUAUUUAAUAGGGAUUAAUUAACAGGAACAUAUCCAGAAAAUAAUAACAAGCUUAAACAUACAAAAUUAUGUUAAUUAAUAAAUUUCAUCACUAUAUAUUUUAUAUAAAAAAAUUAAUUAACCUGUAUAUAUAAUUUUUUAAAGAAAAAUAUGAGAGGGAAACCAUUCUUGUUUCAUUUGAUACUGCCAUGUUAAUCAAUCAUGUCUAAUAAAUAUUUUCUCCGAUUUCUAUUAUAAAAAAAUUAUUUCAUAUUUAUUAAAAAAUUAAUUACUUUUAUUAAAUUGUAUUAAUAUUAAAAUAUUUUUUUUCUAAAUUAUUCUUCACUAAAAGUUGAUAUGAAGCAUAAAAAUAUCCAGCCUUAUAUAUAUUGUAGGCCAACACACAUUUCAUUUGCUUUUCUUUAUGAAAAAAGUUAAAUUAAUAGAGGAUGGGAUUGCAUUUUGGAAAUAAAGGGCUCACAUACAAGUACCUAGGUACAGUUUAGUUUGUGGCCUUAAACUCUGUUUUGGUUUUACCUUUCCUCUUGUGCUAUUAAAAUUCUUCUAGCAUCCGUUCACAAGUUUUUUAUUCAAAAGUAUUUGACGUACUGUUAGUUUAGUUGUUGAGAGUCUUUUUGUACUCCAGAAUUAACUAUGCCAUUGACAAUGGAUAAUUCUGUCAAGCAUGCUAUAUUGUUAAGAAAAAUACUUCUCUCCUAGUUUGUUCAAUUUUACAAAUAUACGUAUAUCAAAUUUUGAUGGUGGUCUCAUUUUUUUGCCUCUAUUCCUUAUCUGCUUCCCUCACUUGGAAAAGUAAAAUGGUAUCAACAUAUUUUUUUUAUUGUAUUUUUAUAUUCUUUUGAAAUAAAUUUACUUUAGAGGAGUGUUUGGACCAGAUACCAUACAAACCAAUUAAAAAAUUUAAAUGCACGGUGUCUUUUUUAAUUUUUAUUUUGUGGCAUUUUUCCUCUAUAUUUGAUUGGUAUUUUUGAAACAUGAUUGCGAUUAGCUGAUGUAUAAAGUCAACGAACCCUAGUGUGGAAAAAUAAUACGGUGAAGACAGUUUUUCAACAACUAAUUUUAUCAGCCAGAGUUUCCUUUAAUCUUCUUUUGAUGUGAUUAGAGUGUCUAAUUUUCUAACCCAUAUUUUAAAGGUUGGAAGACUCGGAAAACAACUGUUUGGUUCAACUAGGAUUGAUUAUAUAUAUAAAACUCUGUGAAUUGAAUAAUAGUUGGGGGCGGGACCUAGGAUUUAUCUAGACAUAGCUUUCCAACUCUUAACAGCUAAAACUUCUAGACACAACCCCAAUUAGAAGAUCAACAGUACAUACACCUCAACUCAUGAAAAAAACCUCUAUAUUCCAUAGAUAAACUUAAAUUUCUCAAUUUAGGAUAUCUACAGUCCUAUACAACUGAUCAAGCGUACUCUCUAUCAAUUAAUGGAAUGUUGAGUAAUUUGAUCAAAUGAAGUUUCCAAUACAGGGUACCUCUUGCCCUUCAGUUUAGAGGUCUAAGCCAAUCACUUUAGGUAGGAUUUAAUCAAACCAUGACUUAAUUCAAUUAUAUUUUAAUGGAUUAAUUUGGGUCAACGGACGUAAUAAUUUAAUUUUUUUUUCUUUUUUAAAACCUAAUAUUUUGUAGAAAUUAAAUUUUUUAUUAAAUAAAUUAAAUAUAAUUAUUUCUUAUUAUAUUUUAUUAAAAAGAAAUUUUUGUGAUGUGACCGCAUCUUACUCCGCUAACUCCUAUUUAUCCAAAGGAAUUGGGAAAUUAAGUGUAUCAUAUCACAAGCUCUUUUUAAGGUUUAGCUUUAUUGGAAGAUCUUAUAAAUAGGAGAAAAAGUAAACUAUGCUGGAAAAAAAUGUUAAGCAAUGAAGUAGACAUUAAAGAAAAACAAAAAGAAAUAUUGAAUAGAAUUGUAUUGUUUAUAAUUUUUUACGUUAUCUUACUGUUUCUACUUUCUGCAAUACUUUUAUUUUAAUUUUUUAUUUAAUGUCUAAGAGUACCCGUAGUUGACAAGACACUUCUUGUAAACAAGAAGUCAUAUAAUAGAUAACUAGAAUAAGUUGAAUUUGGAUAAUAAUUUGAGUAUUCUCUGUCAUUGUGAGAGUUGUUCUUCUUUAAUAACUUUGAUUUUAUUAACAUAUUGCGAUUAUGAUCAAAUUCUACUUGUUCACUUUGCAUGAAUUUAACAUGAUCCUAUAAAUCGAUUCGUAUUAUUGUUUAUCAGACAAUAUAAUUAAUUGUUAGUACAGUGACCUGUGAGCACAUCUAUUUGUAUACAUAUGGUAUAGAUAAACUAUUGGUUUUUUCAAUUUGAGAACAAAUCUCCUAAUAUAAUUUUUGUUCAUUUCUAAUAUUUUACAAAAAUAUUGAUGUAACCGUAUUGUCAUCUCUAUUUUAAAUUUGGCAAUAACACAUCAAACUAAAUUAAAUAAAAUCGAAUUUCAAAUUUGGGAAUAACACAUUAUCUAAUAAUGACCUCCAAAUCAAUUUCGAUGACAAUGGUGUAACAACCUUAAUUAAUAACUUCUUUGACAUAUCUGCGUUCCUUCUUUGCAUAAAUUAACUUCCAAGUCAAUGCAAAACGUUUUGCAUGGGGUAGAAAAUGGGAAACUUUUUGGGAUACAAAUACCAAUUAUAUAUGUAAGUUCUAAAAGAUAGAAACUAUAUAACUCUAUUACUAUAAUAAAGAUCCAUUCUUUUUUAAUUGACAAAUUAUUUAGUUUAUUAAUUUUAUUUAUUCAAAUUAAUUUAUUCAAUGCUAUUUAAUUUCAGUCAACAAAUUGCUAUUUAAUUUAUUCAUCAAUACUCACUCACUUGCUAAAACUUAUUAUCCGUCUUCACUGAAGUCUAAAGGUUUACAAAUUAGAAAAUGCAUUUUAAAGAGAAAAAUUAAAACGAUAAAAUAGAUAUAUGAAGUAGAAAAAUCAAAUAAAUCAUGUUUGCAAAGAGUUCCUAGAGAUAAUAUAAUGAAAGGGUUGAGAAAUGAAUGUUGAUUUGCAUGAGGGAUGGGUUGUUGUAGUGUAUACUCCUUGCGUGUUAACAAAAUUAAUUUUAAAUGUAAUUGAUUUUGUAAAAUUGAUUUUGAAGUAAUUAAUGUUUGUAUGUUUUAUUAUAAAAUUAAAUUAACAAUAAAAUUUGUUAUAAAAUUUUAGAUUCAAUACAGAAAUUGUUUAAAACAUAUAAAAAUAUAUUUAAAAUUAAUUAUAGAUUCAAAAUCAAUUUUUCAUCGUGAAUCAAACAAUAAAAAGUCUCAAAAUGGUUGAUGAAGGAUAAUUUUUUUAAAAAAUUUAUCAUUUGGAGAUAAAAUUUAAGUUGAUAUUCCAAAAGGAAUAAGUCUUAAUAAAUAAUGCAACUUCUAAAUUAAAAAUAGUGAAAUUUGUUAUAACUUUUUUUUAUUUUUUACAUUAAAGUCAUAAGAAAUUUUAUGGACUUCAUUUUUAUUUUUUAAAUACGUCUAAAAUUUAAUUCUCAUAGACAUUAAAGUCAUAAUUUUUUUUAUUGAAUUCGUAAAUUAUUUUAUGACUUUAAUUUAUUUUGCAUCUGAUAUAUUUUUUAAAAUUAUAAAUAAUUUUUAUUUUGGUUAUUUAAUAAAUUAAUGAUUUUAGUUUUAUUUAAUAUUUUGGUUAUUUUGCUAAAACCACCCUCAUCCGAUUCACCAAAGGUUUACAAAAUUCGCUCCGUCAUGUUGUUUCAUUGCUAGUUGGUAUUUUAAAGGGAAAACAUGGUUAAACAAAGAUAUGAAGUAGAAAAAUAAAAUAAAUCAUGUUUGCAGAAAAAAUGAGUUCCAAGUCAAGUCAAUUUAAAUAGCAAUUGCUGGGACAACUUUGAUAGCGUGUAAAAGGAUCAUAAGAUUUAUGGUCAAUUUGCGUGAGGUUUGGGCUGUUGAAGACUUGAAGCUUAAUUUAGCCACAAAUUUUGCAUAUCAUCUUUUAAAUUUGGCUAUAAAUAUUAAUGUUUGGUUGCUCAGUAUUAAUUUCAUGUAUAUUUGAGUAGAAAAUGGAAUCAUGGAUGUGGUGUUUCCUUCUCUGUUCCCAUUUGCUCAUCCUUUAUUUUUCACCCUCUCAUUCCUUAUGCCACCCCCAUGACACCUCUGCCUUGCUCCACUUCAAAAACUCCUUCACUAUUUAUGAAGAUCCUUAUUAUUCUUAUUAUUGUGAUCAUGGUUAUUCAAAGACGACAACAUGGGAAAAUGGGACAGAUUGUUGCUCUUGGGCUGGAGUCAGCUGCAACCCCAUCUCAGGUCACGUCACUGAGCUCGACCUCAGCUGCAGUCGCCUUUACGGCAAUAUCCAUCCAAACAGUACGCUUUUCCAUCUUUCUCAUCUUCACUCACUCAACCUUGCUUUCAAUGAUUUUAAUUAUUCUCAUUUGUCAUCUCUCUUUGGUGGGUUUGUGAGCCUCACUCAUCUCAACUUGUCUAAUUCUCACUUUGAAGGGGAUAUUCCUUCCCAAAUCUCUCACCUUUCCAAAUUAGUCUCACUUGAUCUCUCUGGUAAUAAUUUGUUAAAGUGGAAGGAAGACACUUGGAAGAGAUUGCUCCAAAAUGCAACAGUUUUAAGGGUGCUUGUUUUGGAUCAAACAGAUAUGUCUUCCAUUUCAAUCAGGACACUCAAUAUGUCUUCCUCUUUGGUUACUCUUAGUCUAGGACUGACUUGGCUAAGAGGAAACUUGACAGAUGGCAUUCUCUGUUUACCAAAUCUUCAGCACUUGGAUCUUUCACUUAAUCGGGCCCUUGAAGGUAAGCUUCCAGAAGUGAGUUGCAGAACAACUUCUCUUGAUUUCUUAGAUCUUUCACUUUGUGGUUUCCAAGGGUCAAUCCCUCCCUCUUUCUCCAACCUCAUACAUCUCACUUCCCUGGACCUCUCAGGUAACAACCUCAACGGUUCAAUCCCUCCCUCUUUCUCCAACCUCAUACAUCUUACUUCCUUGGAUCUCUCAUAUAACAACCUCAACGGUUCAAUCCCAUCCUCACUCUUAACCCUUCCAUGGCUAAACUUUCUGUAUCUAAACUAUAACCAACUCAGUGGUCAAAUCCCAGAUGCCUUUCCUCAGUCAAACAGCUUUCACGAAUUGCAUUUGAGUGAUAACAAAAUAGAGGGUGAGCUGCCUUCAACACUUUCAAAUCUUCAACAUCUCAUUCACUUGGAUCUUUCACAUAAUAAAUUGGAGGGCCCUCUGCCUAACAAUAUAACAGGGUUUUCAAACCUAACAUCGUUAUGGUUAUCUGGAAACUUACUGAAUGGGACAAUUCCUUCUUGGUGUUUAUCUUUGCCAUCUUUGGUGGAUUUAGAUCUAUCAGGCAACCAACUCUCUGGGCAUAUUAGUGCAAUCUCAUCAUAUUCCUUGGAGACAUUGUUUUUAUCCCACAACAAGUUACAAGGCAAUAUUCCAGAAUCAAUUUUUAGCCUUCUAAACCUUACUCACUUAGAUCUAUCAUCAAACAAUUUAAGUGGAUCUGUCAAAUUUCAUCGUUUCUCCAAGCUUCAAAAUUUGGAAAAACUUCACCUUUCAUGGAAUGAUCAGUUAUCACUAAAUUUCGAAUCCAAUGUCAAUUAUAGUUUCUCUAAUUUAAAGUUGUUGAACUUAUCUUCUAUGGUUUUAACUGAAUUUCCAAAAUUAUCGGGAAAAGUCCCAAUUUUAGAAUCACUCUAUUUGUCCAAUAACAAACUUAAAGGUAGAGUGCCACAUUGGUUGCAUGAAGUAUCGUUAUCUGAAUUGAACCUUUCUCAUAACCUAUUGACGCAAUCAUUGGACCAAUUCUCAUGGAACCAACAACUCGGUUACCUUGAUCUUAGUUUUAACUCAAUCACUGGUGACUUCUCUUCCUCAAUUUGCAAUGCAAGUGCAAUUGAGAUUCUCAACUUGUCUCACAACAAGUUGACAGGAACCAUUCCACAAUGCCUUGCAAACUCAUCAUCCCUUCUAGUUUUGGAUCUACAACUGAACAAGCUUCAUGGCACUUUGCCAAGUAUCUUUUCAAAGGACUGUCGGCUCAGAACUCUGGAUCUCAAUGGCAACCAACUAUUAGAAGGUCUUUUGCCAGAAUCUUUGUCCAAUUGCAUUGAUCUGGAGGUUUUAGAUCUUGGAAACAAUCAAAUAAAGGAUGUGUUUCCCCAUUGGCUUCAAACUCUACCAGAAUUGAAAGUAUUGGUUUUGCGAGCCAACAAGUUGUACGGUCCCAUUGUCGGUUUAAAGAUCAAGCAUGGAUUCCCCCGUUUAGUCAUCUUUGAUGUCUCUUUCAACAACUUCAGCGGCCCAAUACCAAAAGCCUACAUACAAAAAUUUGAAGCGAUGAAGAACGUUGUUAUAGAUACCGAUCUGCAGUACAUGGAAAUUUCUAUUGGAGCUAAAAAGAUGUACAGUGAUUCUGUGACUAUAACAACAAAAGCAAUUACUAUGACAAUGGACAAAAUUCCAAAAGGCUUUGUCAGCAUUGAUUUAUCAAAAAACGGAUUUGAAGGAGAGAUUCCAAAUGCCAUUGGAGAGCUUCAUGCCCUCAGAGGGCUCAACCUUUCCCAUAACAGAAUUAUUGGUCCUAUUCCCCAAUCCAUGGGAAAUUUGACAAACUUAGAAUCAUUGGAUCUCUCCUCAAAUAUGCUCACUGGUGGGAUACCUACGGAAUUAAGCAAUUUGAACUUCCUUGAAGUCCUAAAUCUUUCCAAUAACCAUCUUGCGGGAGAAAUACCUCGAGGACAACAGUUCAGUACUUUUACCAAUGAUUCCUAUGAGGGAAACUCAGGGUUAUGUGGACUCCCACUGACAAUCAAAUGCAGCAAGGACCCUGAACAACAUUCUCCAACUUCAACUACCUUGAGGAGAGAAGGAGGAUUUGGAUUUGGUUGGAAACCAGUGGCUAUAGGAUAUGGAUGUGGAAUGGUCUUUGGAGUGGGAAUGGGAUGUUGUGUAUUGUUAAUAGGAAAGCCUCAAUGGCUUGUGAGAAUGGUCGGAGGUAAACCCAAUAAAAAGGUGAAAAGGAAGACAAGGAUGAGAUCUAAUGAAAAUGGUAGCAGAAUGAAUUAGUUGAUAUAUGGCAUGACUGGAGAAUGUCUUGUUACAUACCUGCCAUCUUUGAAAACAAAACUUAAGGGCAAGAACUUUAUCACACUGCAUUGCAUGGGAGAUCUGGUUCAAAGUUUUGCUGUAAUAUGAAUGUGUUAUACUCUUGCUUUUGUCGUAUAACUGUGGCAUUAAUUGGUUGUAUAAUAAUAGAUGUUGUAUAUUUUUAAAAAUGGUAUGUAUUGGCCAAUGCUAAAAUAUUUUGUAUCUUAAUUCAAGGAGCUGAAUUCACGGUUUUAGCUUCCAUUGUAGUCUAUUUAAUUAAUUUUCUAAGUAUUUAACCACCGUGAAAUGGCUUUAGAAGCUGAGGUUGAGGUCCAGGUAUAAGAGCACAAACAAUGCAUACUAAAGGAUGGCUAUGGGUAUAGCCUAGGCCUUAUGGUCCGUAGGAUAUCACAUAUUUAUUUUUUAUUAAGUAAUUUUUCCCAAAUUAGAACAAUUGUCUGGUGAAAAUUUUCAAACUUUGAAAUAAAAGUUGCAGUACUAAAAUCAGUUAUAAUUAAACCUAAACUUUUUCUUUUUCAAUUACUAUUACGAUAAAUUGGUAGUGGUACGUGCUGUAAAUAUUACAUCUACUUAUAAUGUCAGCACCCAAAAAUUAUUUUUAUAAUGUAAAAUUUACAUUGUCAUUAAUUUGCUUUAUUAAUUUUUAUUAUAACUAUUUUAAAUUUAUAUUAUUAUCAUAAAAUCUGAAAAAUCGUAUCUAUAAUUUUUAAUUAAGCGUAAAAUUUUGUAACUUUUAUAAAUUUUAGUAAAUAUUAAAAAAAUAUAUAAUAUAAUGCUAGUAUUUUUCAAAAAAAUCAACAUUAUCAUUAAAUAAACCUGUGUGUUGUACAAUAAUUCCCUUUUAUCAUUCAAAAGAAAAAUUGAAACUGUUAUUCAAAAUAAAAUAACCAUUAGUGAAUUUUAUGAUAAUUACCUUAAUGAUUAAAUAUAUUUAGUUAAUUUUUUUUGCUCCCUAAUAAAUUUUUGUUUUGUUUUGAGUAUUAUAUAAAACAAUAAUUUUAUUUUUGGUCCUAGAUAUUUUGUUGUAUAUAAUCCCUAAUAAGUUAGCAAAUUUUUGUUUACUUCCUUUUAAAUUAACAAAUUUUGUUUUAGUCCCAACUAAUAACAAAUGAAAAAAAUUAUCAAGAAAUAAACACACAAUUUGUGAAUCUAUCAGGGACUAAGAAAAGUAUCAAGAACCAAAAUAAAAUGAUUUUUUUAUUAGAAACUCAACGAAAAGUAAAAAUUUAUUAAAAAUUAAAUACAAAAAAUAAAUAUUUAUUAGGGAUUAAAAUUAUAAUUAAAACUUGUCUUAAAUAUUAAAUCUAUUAUAAUUAUUAAUUGGUUCACAACAUAUAAAUAUUUACACUUGUUAAAAUAUACUAUAAUUUCUCUUAAAUUAUUAGGUAAAAUUGGUAAGAGUGUGAGAAACUUAAUUAUUUAUCAAUACCAGCUAUGUGAAUGAACUAAUGUGAGUUUUUGAGCUAGAGACUCUUGGGAAAAAAAUAUUGUCUCAUAAUGAGAAGAAUACAUCAUAAAAAAAUAGAAAAUAUAAAAAUUUGUUUAAUAUGUUUCAACCCUCAUCCUUGCAUUGACAAUAUUAUACAUUUUAAGGAUAACAUAGAAAAAUUUACAAACAUUUUCUCCUUACGAUUUCCCCUCUGUUUGUUAGGGUAGUGACAGUUUCUUCGCACUAGAUGUGGUGAUUCUUCUCAUCUCAAAAAAUCUCUAUUUAUAAACCUAACAUUCUAAUAUUAACUGAAUUCAAAUCCUUAAUUUAUAAAUAAUAUAUUUAAUUCUAAAUGAUAUCCUAAAAAUAAGAUAAUAUCUUUUUUAAAAGCUAAACAAUAUCCUAUAGAUUUGUUAUUCAUUGAUUGAACCAUCAUUAAUUCCUACAUCCACAACUUUUAUAUAAGAUUUUAUGACAAGCAAGACAAACUUGCAAACCUUCCCUUGAUAUGACUCAUCUCUCUUAGGGUAUUGACCUAGGUUGAGUGAUUAUUCUUAUCUCAUAAAUCUUAUUUUAUAGACAUAACAUUCUAAUCUUAAAUGAGGAAACAAAUACCUAAUUUAUUAAUAAUAUAUUUAAUUUUAUCAACAUUCUAAAAAUAAGAUAAUAUCUUUUUUUAAGAAAAUAAAUAUCUUAUAGAUUUGAGAAUACAAAUAAGAUAUAUCUAACAAGAAGCAAAGUUGGACUUAUGUAGAUCAACCAACUAAUCCCUAUACCCACUCAUCACCUAAGCUCAGCCAAAACUCGCUUAGGCCUCAACCCUGCAUCGCUUAAGCUCUUAGCCAACACCACUUAAGCUACAUAAAAAAACAUGCUAAUUUUUGUGCCCAUUCUAGCUUAAGCGCUACCCAACACCAUUUAAGCUACUUCAAACUAAUUUACUCAAAUUAAAAAGAAUAAUGAUUCAACUAUUUAAUCACUACACAUUAAAUACCUAAUUUAUUUUCCGCACAUCACGCAACUGGUCCAUUUAUCUUUUUUAUUUAUUUCUUACAUGUAAUUUUCUUUUUAUUUUUUAAAAUCCAAAAUUUUCAUCUCUAUUUUAAAAUAAAGAUAUUUAAUCGAUUGUUUUUUACGAUCUAUAAUUUUAAUUUUCUAUUUUAAAAUAGAAAUAUUAGUCAUUUAUAUUUAUAAAAUAUGGAAUUUUAGUUAUCCCCAACUAAAAGCUUUGAUUGUUAAGAGCUUAAUCUUUAUUAUGAUAUAGAUUAACUAAAUUAUCUUGUGUCACAUUAUUAGAUUUGAAUCACAUCAAGUUAGCUUCUUACUAAUCAACGCUAAAUGAUUAUGUGGAUAUAAUCACAAAUGAUCAAAAUUAUAAAUUUUAUAACCUUAAGUAAUUAAUUGUUUUUAUUUUAAAAUAGAAGUAUUAAAAUUGUAAAAUAUAAAAAUUAAGACGGUCAAAUAUUUUUUAAAAUAUAGAAAUCAAAAUUAGAUAUUUUGAAAAUAGGAAAAAAUUACAUUUAAGUUUUUAUUUUUAUUUUUUACCGGAGGUCCAUAUGUCUAGUACUUAGAAAUCACGUCAUUAUAAAAAUGCGCCACUAGAGCAUAAUAUAAUAGCAUGAAGGACGUCAUUAUAAUUACAUUUAAGCCAUGAAGAACGUUGUUAUAUAUGCCAAUCCGCAAUACAUGGAAACUUCUGUUAUGGUUAGUGACACCAACAACACUGAUCAUGAAACCAACUACGCUGAUUCUGUGACUGUAACAAAAAAAAACAAUUACUAUGAAAAUGGACAAAAUUCGAAAUGACUUUGUAAGCAUUGCACAACAGAUUUGUAGGAGAGAUAUUCCAAAUGCCAUUGGAGAGCUUCACUCACUCAGAGGGCUAAACCUUUCCCAUAACAGAUUUAUUGGUCCUAUUCUACAAUCCAUUGGAAAUUUGACAAAGUUAGAAUCAUUGGAUCUCUCCUCAAAUAUGCUCACUGGCGGGAUACCUAGAGAAUUAAGCAAUUUGAACUUUCUUGAAGUCCAAAAUCUUUCCAAUAACCAUCUUGCAUUUGUGGGAGAAAUACCUCAAGGAAAACAGUUCAGUACUUUUUCCAAUGACUCCUAUGGUAGAAACUUGGGGUUGUGUGGACUCCCAUUGACAGCAGAAUGCAGCAAGGACCUUGAACAACAUUCUCCACCUUCACUAACCGUUGGGGGAGAACAGGGAGUUGGAUUUGGUUGGAAACCAGUGGCUAUGUGAUAUGGAUGCGGAAUGGUCUUUGGAGUGGGAAUGGGAUGUUGUGUAUUGUUAAUAGGAAAGCCUCAAUGGCUUGUGAGAAUGGUUGGAGGUCAACUCAAUAAAAAGGUGAAAAGGAAGACAAGGAUGAGAUCUAAUGAAAAUGGUAGCAGAAUGAAUUAGUUGAUAUGUGGCAUGACUGUAGAAUGUUUUCUUGCUCACCUUCCUGUUGAAAUUCAAUUCUGCCUUGUUGGAAAACAAAACUUAAGGGCAAGAACUUUAUCACACUGCAUUGCAUAUGCAUGGGAGAUCUGAUUCAAAGUUUAGUUGUAAUUGUAAUAUGGUGUUGUACUUUUUUUUCUUUGUGUUCAAUAAAUGAGUGUGAUAUACUUUUUUUUUUCUUCCAUUGCCCCAGAAACUCGGGUCUGAAUCAUCCAAAAGUUUGAUAAUUUUUCUGUUCAUUAAUACGCUUAGAUUGUUUUAUUUUUUUUAACAUUUUUAUAUCGGUGAAUUGUAUCAAGUUAAGUAGUGAAUAAUGUGUUGACAAUCAACAAUCAUUUCGUUAAUAUGCUGCAGAUUACAAAAUUGUAGCAGUCAUUAAUAGGCAAAUAUUGACCUGGGGGGAUUUCUUUUAGAAACUAAUUUCCAACCAUUUUGAAACAUCUACAGUUUUUUUAUUAUAAAAUAAGUGUUGGAUUCUUAAAAUAUGAUGUCAAGUUUCCUUAUAUAAUUUAUUUGGUGACCUAUUGCGGAUAAUCUCCCUGGCAUUUACUACUCUCUUGGAUUUUUCAAAAAAUUGAUAUUAGAACCAAUGGUUCGAUUUGAUGACUAGCUUAGACAAGUAAGAUGACAUCGAUGAAUUCAUGGAUAUAGAGUCCUUUGUAUCAAAAGUCUUUUUGACAGGUGAAUUCAUGCAUGAAUGUCAGGUAGCAGAGUUGCAUGUGUUGCAAUAGUGCAAGAUACUAGAACAUGUUAUGACAAUGGCUAGACAAGCUAGGGUAAUAAAGAUUAAGUUUUAAGAGUCACCAUUGAAUAUUCCUGAAUUGAAAAUGAUUUCCAUCCAAUGGAAAGGUUAACAUGUGGAAGAGACACAAACUUGAGAAAAAGAUUGUUAAAAUAUAAGUGUGAGAAAAAAUCUCAUAUUAGAUCGAAAUGACAGUUGAGUAUCAUAUAACAAGUGAGAAGAAAAUCAUAAACAUGAGUGAUAUGAUUUUAAUUUAAAAUAUGAUGUAAAAAUCACUUACAUAAUUACUCGGGAUAAAAUAUUUGAAGGAAAAAGAAUUGACUUGAGAGCCUUUUUCUUAGUUUACAUCUCGUUGUGCCAUUAACAAUUGAUAAUUCUGUCGAGCAUGCUAUAUUGUAAAGAAAAAUACUUCUCUCUUUAUUUGUUCAUUUUACAUAUUUCCUGGUGUCAAAAAAUUCUUUUUAUUGUAUUUUUAUAUCCUUUAAAAUAAAUUUGCUUUUGAAGUUUUCUCUUGGACCAGAUACCAUACAAAGAAUUUCACAUAAUGUAAAUGCACGGGGUUCUUUUUUAAUUUUGAUUUUGUGGCAUUUAUCUCUAUAUUUGGUUGAUAUAUUUGAAACUUGAUAGCGAUUAGCUGAUGUAUCAGUCAACGGACCCUAGUAUGGAAAAAGAAUAUGGUGAAGACAGAAUUUUUCCACAAACUAAUGUAUCAGCGUGAGUUUCCUUUAAUUUUCUUUUGAUUUAAACAUUUUUGUGGACGUAUUUUAAUUUUCCUUUUUGAUGUGAUUGGCGAGCUUAAUUUUCUAACCCAUAUUUUAAGGGUUGGCAGACUUGGAAAACAAUUGCUUGGAUUUAACUGAAGUGGCUGUUUAUACAUGUUUUCUUUUUAGAAUCAUAUCACAUAUAUGUAGUCGAUCUGUUGGUGAGGUAGACAGUGGGAGCUUAUGUUUUGUGCAGAGAUUGUGUCCUCAAACUUUCAUGUGAUAAGACAAAUUAACUUCUGAAUUUUCACAAUAAUACAGUUCUAUUCUAUCAUAAGAAAAAAAAAAAUACCACCAAUAACUUGUAGAUGCAUUUUCUCUUAAACAGGUGGUAUUCUAUCUCUGUGUUCAAUUAUAUCUUUUGGCUGGAAUCUUCCGUGUUCAUAUGUUGGGGAUUAAAAUAUUUAAUAGGGAUUAAUUAACAGGAAUAUAUCCAGAAAACAAGUAGUGUUCAAUUUUCCUUUUUGAUGUGAUUAGAGUGUCUAAUUUUCUAACCCAUAUUUUUAAGGUUGUAAGACUCGGAAAACAAUUGUUUGGUUUAACUAAAUUGGUUUAUACAUGUUUUGUUUUCUGAAUGAUAUGUAGCAUGCUUUCUGCGGUAGAAAACUAAGUCAGUCGAUCACAUGAGACAAAAAUUAAAUAUUUUCAUCGUCACCGUUGUAAUAGCUUGCUACAUUAAACAUAAUUAGUAAUAUAUUUUUUUUAAUUAUUAUCAAAACAAGGAUAAAAUUUUCAUGAUUAAACAAAAUAUCUAUUAAACUUAUUUAAAAAUGAUGGAUUAGUAAAAGCGAUGUAAAGGCAUAAAUUAUUAUAUGAAGAAUUAUCUUCCAAAAAUAAAAUCAACUCAUGAUACAAAAAUAAACAGAGUUUGAAGUAUAUAUAUAUAUAUAUAUAUAUAUAUAUAUAACUCUGUCAAUUGAAUAAUAGUUGGGGGGCGGGACCUAGGAUUUAUCUAGACAUAGCUUUCUAACUCUUAACAACUAAAAUUUCUAGACACAAGCCCGAUUAGAAGAUCAACAGUACAUACACCUCAACUCAUGACAAAAACCUUUAUAUUCCAUAGAUAAACUUAAAUUUCUCAAUUUAGGAGUACGAUUUGUCAAAUCUUAGACUUAAUCUAAUUAUAUUUGAACGGGUUAAUUUGAGUUGAUUUUCUAAAAAAUAUAUGAAAUUUAACCAAAACCAACUUAUUUAUAAAUUGUUUGAGUUUGAUUGGAUCAACCAAGGUAACAAUUUAAUAAUAUUUACAACAAUUUAAUAACACUUAAAACUCAUCCACCAUGUCUUAACAAUGUCCAACUCCUAAAUUGUGACAAAUAUAAGUUUUCUAACUUAUAAAUAAUUUAAUAUAUAAAUUUAAAUUUUCACAAAUAUUAAUUUUAAAAGAAUUUGUUUAAAUGAUAUAAUUUUGAAAAGUAUGUUAAUUUUAUACAUAUUCUUUCAACAAAUAUUUUAGAAUUAUGUAUUCUUUUUAAUUAAAUGUAAUAUUUAUUUUUAAAUAUUUCUAACAUCUUGAAAUUAUAUCAUAUACAAUUAUCCAUUUACAAAUAAUUUUAUAAAUGAUAUACUUUUGACAAAUUUAUUUUUUAUGUAUAAUUUCAAAAAAUAUUUUAUAAUUUAAAUUUUUAUAGUUUAAGGUAAUAUUUAUAUUUUAGAUGUUUUUCUCCGAAUUAUAUAUAUCAUAAACAAUUAUUUCUAGCGUUAUUUCAAAAUAAAUUUUGGGGAGCAAUUGCAUAAAUUAGUAAGGCAAAGGUUUUAGCUUGACAAUUGAAAAAAAAAUGCAUAAAAAAGGAUAUCCAUUAUUGAAAUAAAAUAAAUUUCUUUAAUUAAAUUAUAAUAUAUUUUAUUUUGGAAAGUGAAGGAAACACGUCAUAAAAAAACAAAAAAAAAAAAACUAAAAAGCUCCAUUGUUUUUAAAACUCAUAAAUCCAUAUACCUGAAUAGGGUUAAAAAAAUUCUUCAAAAUCUCUAUCACUCUUUUAUAGUAUCAAAUUUAAAUUAUUUUCCUAUUUUUAAGAUGACAAAUUGUUUCUGUAAAAAGACAAUAAAUUAUUAAAAAUAAAUUCAAAUAUAUAUAUAAUUAUAAACAAAACUAAAAAUAUUUUUUAUAAACAAAUCAUAUGAAAAAAAAUUCAAUUCAAUGAGCUAGUUCACAAGCUAGUUCUGUCAAGCACACCCUAUCUCUUCCUUAAAACAUUUUUUUGUUUAAAUCGUUUAGAUUUAAAUAGGUAAAUUUUUUAUUUUUUGGUUUUUUCCCUUUUAAAUUAUUGUUAAAUUUUUGCUCCCAAAAAAAUAAUUUUUGUAUUUUAUUUUUUGACUUUGGAUUUAUUUAGAUAGGGCUUUAGAAAAUGGAAUAAAAUUAUUUUGAUAGUUAUUUAGCAAAAAAACAAAAGAAAAAAUUAUUACAAACCAAAAAGUUAACAAAAAUUUAUUAGGAAUAAAAAAAAUUAAUGAUUUAUCAAGAACUAAAAAUAUAUUUAAAUUGUUUAUAACAUAAAAGAACAUGAAAAAUCAACCAUUAUGCAAUUCUCUUUGAACAAAAUUGUAAGAUGUAACAUUUUUAAAAUAAAUUUCAGAGAGCAACUCAGUCCAUACACUAAGAUAGUGUUUUACCUUGACAGUUGAAAAAAUGCAUUAAAAAGAAGGAUUUGCCGUGAAGGUUUCAAGAAAAUACAUGCAUGUGUAAUGUUAUUUCAUUUCUAGUUGGUAUUUUAAAGGGAAAACAUGGUUAAACAAAGAUAUGAAGUAGAAAAAUAAAAUAAAUCAUGUUUACAGAAAAAAUGAGUUCCAAGUCAAGUCAAUUUAAAUUGCAAUUGCUGGGACAACUUUGAUAGCGUGUAAAAGGAUCAUAAAAUUUAUGUGUCAAUUUGCGUGAGGUUUGGGCUGUUGAAGUCUUGAAGCUUAAUUUAGCCACAAAUUUUGCAUAUCAUCUUUUUAAUUUGACUAUAAAUAUUAAUGUUUGGUUGCUCAGUAUUAAUUUCAUGUAUAUUUUCCAUCCCUUAUAGUAAAGAGUAUUUGAGUAGAAAAUGGAAUCAUGGAUGUGGUGUUUCCUUCUCUGUUCCCAUUUGCUCAUCCUUUAUUUUUCACCCUCUCAUUCCUUAUGCCACCCCCAUGACACCUCUGCCUUGCUCCACUUCAAAAACUCCUUCACUAUUAAUACUAGUUAUGGCCAUAAUGAAUAUCCUUAUUAUUAUCAUAAAUGUGAUACUGGUUAUUCAAAGACGAGAACAUGGGAAAAUGGGACAGAUUGUUGCUCUUGGGCUGGAGUCACCUGCCACCCCAUCUCAGGUCAUGUCACUGACCUCGACCUCAGCUGCAGUGGCCUUCACGGCAAUAUCCAUCCAAACAGUACGCUUUUCCAUCUUUCUCAUCUUCACUCACUCAACCUUGCUUUCAAUCAUUUGUAUCAAUCUCAUUGGUCAUCUCUCUUUGGUGGGUUUGUGAGCCUCACUCAUCUCAACUUGUCUUAUUCUGAAUUUGAAGGGGAUAUUCAUUCCCAAAUCUCUCACCUUUCCAAAUUAGUCUCGCUUGAUCUCUCAGGUAAUGAUUUGUUAGAGUGGAAGGAAGACACUUGGAAGAGAUUGCUCCAAAAUGCAACAGUUUUAAGGGUGCUUGUUUUGGAUGGAGCAGAUAUGUCUUCCAUUUCAAUCAGGACACUCAAUAUGUCUUCCUCUUUGGUUACUCUUAGUCUUCGAUACAGUGGGCUAAGAGGAAACUUGACAGAUGGCAUUCUCUGUUUACCAAAUCUUCAGCACUUGGAUCUUUCAGGAAACUGGGUCCGUGGAGGCCAGCUUGCAGAAGUGAGUUGCAGCACAACUUCUCUUGAUUUCUUAGCUCUUUCAGAUUGUGUUUUCCAAGGGUCAAUCCCUCCCUUCUUCUCUAACCUCACACAUCUUACUUCCCUGGAUCUCUCAUAUAACAACCUCAACGGUCCAAUCCCUCCCUCUUUCUUCAACCUCACACAUCUCACUUCCCUAGACCUCUCAGGUAUCAACCUCAACGGUUCAAUCCCAUCCUCACUCUUAACCCUUCCACGGC